rnacentral:rRNA from 1 species
UCCUACGGGAGGCAGCAGUGAGGAAUAUUGGUCAAUGGGCGAGAGCCUGAACCAGCCAAGUAGCGUGAAGGAUGACUGCCCUAUGGGUUGUAAACUUCUUUUAUAAAGGAAUAAAGUCGGGUAUGCAUACCCGUUUGCAUGUACUUUAUGAAUAAGGAUCGGCUAACUCCGUGCCAGCAGCCGCGGUAAUACGGAGGAUCCGAGCGUUAUCCGGAUUUAUUGGGUUUAAAGGGAGCGUAGAUGGAUGUUUAAGUCAGUUGUGAAAGUUUGCGGCUCAACCGUAAAAUUGCAGUUGAUACUGGAUAUCUUGAGUGCAGUUGAGGCAGGCGGAAUUCGUGGUGUAGCGGUGAAAUGCUUAGAUAUCACGAAGAACUCCGAUUGCGAAGGCAGCCUGCUAAGCUGCAACUGACAUUGAGGCUCGAAAGUGUGGGUAUCAAACAGGAUUAGAUACCCUGGUAGUCCACACGGUAAACGAAGAAGACUCGCUGUUUGCGAUAUACUGCAAGCGGCCA